rnacentral:rRNA from 1 species
CCUACGGGAGGCUGCAGUGGGGAAUAUUGGACAAUGGGCGAAAGCCUGAUCCAGCCAUGCCGCGUGUGUGAAGAAGGCCUUCGGGUUGUAAAGCACUUUCAGUGGGGAAGAAAGCCUUGGGGCUAAUACCCUCGAGGAAGGACAUCACCCACAGAAGAAGCACCGGCUAACUCCGUGCCAGCAGCCGCGGUAAUACGGAGGGUGCGAGCGUUAAUCGGAAUUACUGGGCGUAAAGCGCGCGUAGGCGGUCUGAUAAGCCGGUUGUGAAAGCCCCGGGCUCAACCUGGGAACGGCAUCCGGAACCGUCAAGGCAGGGGUCAGGAGAGGAAGGGAGAAGUCCCGGGGGAGCGGUGGAAAGCCGUGGGGUCGGGAGGAAUACCAGUGGCGAAGGCGGCCUUCUGGACUGACACUGACGCUGAGGUGCGAAAGCGUGGGUAGCAAACAGGAUUAGAUACCCGGUAGUC